rnacentral:lncRNA from 1 species
GCAGUUUCAAUUUCAAUUUUUAUAUGAACUUAGUGUUAGGACAAAGAGCAUAUAUAUGAUGUGAUUUCAGUUUGCAAAGGAGAAAUCAAAUAUUUUAUUAUGAAAAACUUGGGUGAAAUAAACAUAUUAAAGUAUGGGAAAUAAAAAUAUGAAUUAUAGGGCUUAAAUGAUGUAGGUAGGGUUAGGUAAGGACGUGAGUGGGUAGAAUAGGAUCAUUAUGAAUGUCUUUAGGCUUUUUUUUUUUUCUUUUUUUUUUUUUUUGUGUGGAACCUUGUUCCUUGCAUGUAUGUCACAUAAUUGUAAAUGAAUACGAUUAUAUGCAUAGUUAGUAAAUUCACAUAUAAUAUUCUUAUUAUUCACGUAGGUAUGCAUUUUUUUUAAAAUAUUUUAGUUUAUGUACACAGUCCCAAAGACACGGUAAUUAUAACUAAGUCCUUGUUUCAUCAAUAAAAGGGAUUUUCCUUGUAGUGUACGUUUCUUAAACUCAAAUGUUCAAUAUACAUAAUAUAA